rnacentral:rRNA from 1 species
UACGGGGGGGGUAAGCGUUGUUCGGAAUUACUGGGCGUAAAGGGCUCGUAGGCGGCCAACUAAGUCAGACGUGAAAUCCCUCAGCUUAACUGGGGAACUGCGUCUGAUACUGGAUGGCUUGGAUCCGGGAGAGGGAUGCGGAAUUCCAGGUGUGGCGGUGAAAUGCGUAGAUAUCUGGAGGAACACCGGUGGCGAAGGCGGGUCUCUGGGCCGAUACUGACGCUGAGGAGCGAAAGCGUGGGGAGCGAACAGG